GGCGGAAUGGCAGACGCAGCGGACUCAAAAUCCGCCGCCCUCAAAAGCGUGUGAGUUCGAGUCUCACC
rnacentral:tRNA from 1 species